CUACGGGUGGCUGCAGUCGGGAAUUUUGCUCAAUGGGGGAAACCCUGAAGCAGCAACGCCGCGUGAGGGAUGAAGGCCUUCGGGUUGUAAACCUCUUUUGUCAGGGACGAUGAUGACGGUACCUGGCGAAUAAGCCACGGCUAACUACGUGCCAGCAGCCGCGGUAAUACGUAGGUGGCAAGCGUUGUCCGGAUUUACUGGGCGUAAAGAGCGCGCAGGCGGUCGGGUAAGUCGAAUGUGAAAGCCCCUGGCUCAACUGGGGAGGGUCAUUCGAUACUGCUCGACUCGAAGGCAGGAGAGGGAAGCGGAAUUCCCGGUGUAGUGGUGAAAUGCGUAGAUAUCGGGAGGAACACCAGUGGCGAAGGCGGCUUUCUGGCCUGUUCUUGACGCUGAGGCGCGAAAGCUAGGGGAGCAAACGGGAUUAGAUACCCGAGUAGUC
rnacentral:rRNA from 1 species